rnacentral:rRNA from 1 species
ACUCCUGCGGGAGGCAGCAGUGGGGAAUAUUGGACAAUGGGCGCAAGCCUGAUCCAGCCAUGCCGCGUGAGUGAUGAAGGCCCUAGGGUUGUAAAGCUCUUUCACCGGUGAAGAUAAUGACGGUAACCGGAGAAGAAGCCCCGGCUAACUUCGUGCCAGCAGCCGCGGUAAUACGAAGGGGGCUAGCGUUGUUCGGAUUUACUGGGCGUAAAGCGCACGUAGGCGGACUAUUAAGUCAGGGGUGAAAUCCCGGGGCUCAACCCCGGAACUGCCUUUGAUACUGGUAGUCUUGAGUUCGAGAGAGGUGAGUGGAAUUCCGAGUGUAGAGGUGAAAUUCGUAGAUAUUCGGAGGAACACCAGUGGCGAAGGCGGCUCACUGGCUCGAUACUGACGCUGAGGUGCGAAAGCGUGGGGAGCAAACAGGAUUAGAAACCCGAGUAGUCCCA